UUAGCCAAUAAGAAAAUAGCAAUCAAUGACGUCAUUCAGUUAUUAAAAAUCGUGACAAGAUGUGUCGUUUUCGGAUCGAUAAAAGUGUGUGAUAUUUGUAAAAUUUUUAUUGAUAUAAUUUAUAGACUAUUAUUAGCUUUUUAUAAUUAAUACUUCGCUGUUUAAUGAUAAUUUAUUAUAAAAUUUUUUAUUAUAUUCAAAAGAGACAAUUACAAACGAUCAGACAUAGUUUAUCGUGCCAUUUGCAUUUAGUCUUUCUUCAUACAUAUUUGUAAGAAAUUUUGACACAUAAUUAUAAUUUUUUUUAUCGAAAAUAUAACUUCAUUUCGUAGAUAUAGUGAUUCGUGUUUGCACGAUUUGUUGUCAAACUAUCCCCUCUCCAAUUUGAAAUUCGAUAGGCAUAACGGCGCAAGAUUCAUUAUUGUGUCGACAUUUGUAAUGUUUAGACGCCGCUUCUUUUCGUGCUGUGUAAUUUUUCUGAUGAUUGCUGCAACGACUUAGAAGGCGGAAAAAGGAUUUCAAACAUAGACGCCAUGAUGAUAAUUCUUGUUUUAGAGACUAGAGGUAAGUGUAACAAAUUUUCGUAGCGCGUAUUGAGCUUCAGUUGAUAAUGUCGAACAAUAUCAAAAAUGCACAGCGAGUGCUGCCACAUGAUAAGUACGUAUUUUUAAAAAUUAAGAGAAAAUACACAGGUUUUAA